rnacentral:rRNA from 1 species
AACAAGGUCUCCGUAGGUGAACCUGCGGAGGGAUCAUUACUGAGCGAGGGCUCGCGCCCGACCUCCCACCCUUUGUGAACCAACUCUGUUGCUUCGGGGGCGACCCCGCCGUACCGGCGACGGCGCCCCCGGAGGCACCCCCAACCCUGCAUCUCUGCGUCGGAGUCUGUCUUCAAGUAAAUUGAAACAAAACUUUCAACAACGGAUCUCUUGGUUCUGGCAUCGAUGAAGAACGCAGCGAAAUGCGAUAAGUAAUGUGAAUUGCAGAAUUCAGUGAAUCAUCGAAUCUUUGAACGCACAUUGCGCCCUGUGGUAUUCCGCAGGGCAUGCCUGUUCGAGCGUCAUUUCACCACUCAAGCCUCGCUUGGUAUUGGGCGCCGCGGCCCCCCCGCGCGCCUCAAAGUCCUCCGGCUGAGCAGUCCGCCCCUAAGCGUUGUGGAUGUUUUUCAAAAUCGCUGAAGGGUGCGGGCGGCGACGGCCGUUAAAUCUUGCACAAGGUUGACCUCGGAUCAGGUAGGGAUACCCGCUGAACUUAAGCAUAUCAAUA